CUACGUGCCAGCAGCCGCGGUAAUACGGAAGGUCCGGGCGUUAUCCGGAUUUAUUGGGUUUAAAGGGAGCGUAGGCCGGAGAUUAAGUGUGUUGUGAAAUGUAGACGCUCAACGUCUGAAUUGCAGCGCAUACUGGUUUCCUUGAGUACGCACAACGUUGGCGGAAUUCGUCGUGUAGCGGUGAAAUGCUUAGAUAUGACGAAGAACUCCGAUUGCGAAGGCAGCUGACGGGAGCGCAACUGACGCUUAAGCUCGAAGGUGCGGGUAUCAAACAGGAUUAGAUACCCUGGUAGUCCGCACAGUAAACGAUGGAUGCCCGCUGUUAGCGCCUGGCAUUAGCGGCUAAGCGAAAGCAUUAAGCAUCCCACCUGGGGAGUACGCCGGCAACGGUGAAACUCAAAGGAAUUGACGGGGGCCCGCACAAGCGGAGGAACAUGUGGUUUAAUUCGAUGAUACGCGAGGAACCUUACCCGGGCUUGAAUUGCAGAGGAAUUAUUUAGAGAUA
rnacentral:rRNA from 1 species